GGAGUGGAUCCUGCGGCUUAAUUUGACUCAACACGGGAAACCUCACCCGGCCCGGACACGGACAGGAUUGACAGAUUGAUAGCUCUUUCUCGAUUCCGUGGGUGGUGGUGCAUGGCCGUUCUUAGUUGGUGGAGCGAUUUGUCUGGUUAAUUCCGAUAACGAACGAGACUCUGGCAUGCUAACUAGUUACGCGACCCCCGAGCGGUCGGCGUCCCCCAACUUCUUAGAGGGACAAGUGGCGUUCAGCCACCCGAGAUUGAGCAAUAACAGGUCUGUGAUGCCCUUAGAUGUCCGGGGCUGCACGCGCGCUACACUGACUGGCUCAGCGUGUGCCUACCCUACGCCGGCAGGCGCGGGUAACCCGUUGAACCCCAUUCGUGAUGGGGAUCGGGGAUUGCAAUUAUUCCCCAUGAACGAGGAAUUCCCAGUAAGUGCGGGUCAUAAGCUUGCGUUGAUUAAGUCCCUGCCCUUUGUACACACCGCCCGUCGCUACUACCGAUUGGAUGGUUUAGUGAGGCCC
rnacentral:rRNA from 1 species